AGCGAACGCUGGCGGCAGGCUUAACACAUGCAAGUCGAGCGGGCGUAGCAAUACGUCAGCGGCAGACGGGUGAGUAACGCGUGGGAACAUACCUUUUGGUUCGGAACAACACAGGGAAACUUGUGCUAAUACCGGAUAAGCCCUUACGGGGAAAGAUUUAUCGCCGAAAGAUUGGCCCGCGUCUGAUUAGCUUGUUGGUGAGGUAACGGCUCACCAAGGCGACGAUCAGUAGCUGGUCUGAGAGGAUGAUCAGCCACAUUGGGACUGAGACACGGCCCAAACUCCUACGGGAGGCAGCAGUGGGGAAUAUUGGACAAUGGGCGAAAGCCUGAUCCAGCCAUGCCGCGUGAGUGAUGAAGGCCCUAGGGUUGUAAAGCUCUUUUGUCCGGGAAGAUAAUGACUGUACCGGAAGAAUAAGCCCCGGCUAACUUCGUGCCAGCAGCCGCUGUAAG
rnacentral:rRNA from 1 species